GGGCACAUGGUGUAGUUGGUAACAAUGCCCGCUUAACUUCUUAGGCUGCGGGCGGUCCCCGGUUCGAUUCCGGGUGUGUGUG